UACGGGGGAGCAAGCGUUGUUCGGAUUUACUGGGCGUAAAGGGCGCGUAGGCGGCCAGUGCAAGUCAGUUGUGAAAUCUCCGAGCUUAACUCGGAAAGGUCAACUGAUACUGCUCGGCUAGAGUGCGGAAGGGGCAACUGGAAUUCUUGGUGUAGCGGUGAAAUGCGUAGAUAUCGGAAGGAACACCUGUGGCGAAAGCGGCUCACUGGACCACAACUGACGCUGAGGCACGAAAGCUAGG
rnacentral:rRNA from 1 species